CAGAUGUAAAACAAAUUAAAGUUGUAGUUAUUUAUUUCCGUUUAAAAUUGUAAAUGUUUAAAUAUCAUAAUAGUUAUUUAAGUUUUUCAAAAUAAAAUUUUAGUAUUGUUUUUUUCUUAUACUCGAGAUAAUCAAUAAAAAAUCCACUAGUUUUAAAUUGGACUACAAAUAAAAUAUAAAUUUAAAUGAUUAAGAGGACGUGUCACAGUCCGAGAUACCUGCAAUAGGUCACAAUAAUAAUUCCAAUUCAGCCAUCGCUACAAAAGUUAUUGAAAUCCUCAUUAUACCAUAGUAUUAUGCAGAGGAAAACGACUAAAAUUAAAAUAUCUGCAGACAGAGAAAAAUAUGAUGGAAAUAUCGGAAAAUACGCGUAGGUACUUCUCAUAUUAUAUAAUAUUAUGUACCGACAUAUACUUUUGUAUACUAAAAUAAUAUUAUACCUACCGGAAGAAAAAUAUUGGCGAAAACGCUAGAAAAAUUGAAGAGGGUGAUAAUUCGUGGAAAACAAUAAGUGCGUUCAGCGCGGCUCGACAAAAAAAUUCGACUGCGUACGAGG